rnacentral:rRNA from 1 species
GACGAACGCUGGCGGCGUGCUUAACACAUGCAAGUCGAACGGCAAGGCCCUGCGUUUGUGCGCUUCCCGAUUGGCGAACGGGUGAGUAACACGUGAGUAACCUGCCCUUGAUUUUGGGAUAACUUCAGGAAACUGGGGUUAAUACCGGAUCGGAUCUCCUGCUGCAUGGUGGGCGUUGGAUCGUUUCGGCGGUUGGGGAUGGACUCGCGGCUUAUCAGCUUGUUGGUGGGGUAGUGGCUUACCCAGCCUUUGACUGAUACCCGGCCUGAGAGGGUGACCGGGCACAAUGGUACUGAGAGACGGCGCAGACGGCUAUGGGAGGCAGUAGUGGGGAGUAUGGCACAGUGGGAGGGCGUCUGUUGCAGAGACCCCGGGGUCGGGAUGACGUCCUGCGGGUUGUGAACAGCUGUCGCUUGAUACGAAGCUGUAGUGACGGUAAUGAGUGAAGAAGCACCGGCUAACUACGUG